rnacentral:tRNA from 1 species
UGGGAUAUCGUUCAGAGGCAGGACGGUGGGAUCUGGCCCCGCAGACGGUAGUUCGAUUCUAUCUAUCCCAACCA